CCCUUAGACGUUCUGGGCCGCACGCGCGCUACACUGACCAGUGCAACAAGCAUCCGUCCUUGGCCGACAGGCCCGGGCAAUCUUUGAACGCUGGUCGUGAUGGGGAUAGACUUUUGUAAUUUUUGGUCUUCAACGAGGAAUUCCUAGUAAACGCAAGUCAUCAACUUGCAUUGAUUACGUCCCUGCCCUUUGUACACACCGCCCGUCGCACCUACCGAUUGAAUGGUCCGGUGAAGCCUCCGGAUUGGCGCGCACCUCGGUGCCGCCGAGAAGUUGGCUAAACCUUACCAUUUAGAGGAAGGUGAAGUCGUAACA
rnacentral:rRNA from 1 species